UUCUGCUAUAUUACAUGAGGAAAAGCCUGGUCUCAUCAGAUCUCUGAAGCUGAGUAGGGCGUGGCCUGGUUAGUACUUGGAUAAGAGACCGCUGGGAAUACCACAGAGGUCAUUGUUUCCU
rnacentral:rRNA from 1 species